UACGGGGGGGGCAAGCGUUGUUCGGAAUUACUGGGCGUAAAGGGCUCGUAGGCGGCCAACUAAGUCAGACGUGAAAUCCCCAGGCUUAACCUGGGAACUGCGUCCGAUACUGGCAGGCUUGAAUUCGGGAGAGGGAUGCGGAAUUCCAGGUGUAGCGGUGAAAUGCGUAGAUAUCUGGAGGAACACCGGUGGCGAAGGCGGCAUCCUGGACCGAGAUUGACGCUGAGGCGCGAAAGCCAGGGGAGCAAACGGG
rnacentral:rRNA from 1 species